rnacentral:lncRNA from 1 species
CCCGAGAGGGCAGUACAUGGCUCAAGAGACUCAUCCGAAUGAUGUUCACCAUGAACAAGCCAAUGCCAUGACCACCUUAAGAAGCGGACGCGUAGUGGACAAUAAGGUUGGAGAAAAAGAACAUAAGAAAAAUGAAGAUAGGAGUAUGACUAUGCCUAAAGAGAUCCCAAACUCCUCUAUGUCACCAUCAAACCCAGUAUCGACCACACCUUUUCCACCGAAGGC